rnacentral:rRNA from 1 species
UAACGAGUUUUGAACGGAGCUGUUCUGGUCUUUCGGGGCAAGUGAACGCUUCACUCAAUCCACCUUACACCUGUGCACCUUCGGGGAAAACGGAAGGAUUCNAAGUUGGACAACGACGACCAUCCUAAUGUUUUCUCUUCUACACACAUCACAGUCUAUAGAAAGUCUUAUUUGCUUGACGCAAAUUUAAAUGUAAUACAACUUUCAGCAACGGAUCUCUUGGCUCUCGCAUCGAUGAAGAACGCAGCGAAAUGCGAUAAGUAAUGUGAAUUGCAGAAUUCAGUGAAUCAUCGAAUCUUUGAACGCACCUUGCACUCCUUGGUAUUCCGAGGAGUAUGCCUGUUUGAGUGUCAUGAAAUUCUCAACUUCAUAGUUUUAUUACUUGUGAAGCUUGGAUUUGGAAGCCUGCUGGCGUAAGUCGGCUCUUCUCAAAUGUAUUAGCUGCUUGUCCGUGAGUUGGCUCAGAGUGUGAUAAGUAUCUACACUUGGUGGCUGCUCGCUUGGAUGUGGCUUCUAAUCGUCUUCGGACAAUUAUCUUAAGAUCUGACCUCAAAUCAGGUAGGACUACCCGCUGAACUUAAGCAUAUCAAUAAGCGGAGGAAAAGAAACUAACAAGGAUUCCCCUAGUAACGGCGAGUGAAGCGGGAAAAGCUCAAAUUUAAAAUCUGGCUGUCUUAGGCGGUCCGAGUUGUAAUUUGGAGAAGUGUUUUCUGCGCUGGACCAUGCACAAGUCUCUUGGAACAGAGCGUCAUAGAGGGUGAGAAUCCCGUCUUUGGCAUGGGCUACCAGGGCUAUAUGAUACACUCUCGAAGAGUCGAGUUGUUUGGGAAUGCAGCUCAAAAUGGGUGGUAAAUUCCAUCUAAAGCUAAAUACAGGCGAGAGACCGAUAGCGAACAAGUACCGUGAGGGAAAGAUGAAAAGAACUUUGGAAAGAGAGUUAAACAGUACGUGAAAUUGCUGAAAGGGAAACGCUUGAAGUCAGUCGCGUUGGUUGAGACUCAGCCUUGCUUUUGCUUGGUGCAUUUCUUGACUGACGGGUCAACAUCAAUUUUGGUCAUUGGAAAAAGGCGGGGGGAAUGUGGCUCCUCCGGGAGUGUUAUAGCCCUCAGUUGUAUACAAUGGCUGGGAUUGAGGACCGCAGUGCGCCUUCAUGGUCGGGGUUCGCCCUCGUUCGCACUUAGGAUGUUGGCAUAAUGGCUUUAAGCGACCCGUCUUGAAACACGGACCAAGGAGUCUAACAUGCAUGCGAGUGUUUGGGUGGAAAACCCGAGCGCGCAAUGAAAGUGAAAGUUGAGACCCCUGUCGCGGGGGGCAUCGACGCCCGGACCAGAUGUUUACUGACGGCUCUGCGGUUGAGCAUGUAUGUUGGGACCCGAAAGAUGGUGAACUAUGCCUGAAUAGGGCGAAGCCAGAGGAAACUCUGGUGGAGGCUCGUAGCGAUUCUGA